UUACAGUUCAACAGCUAAGGUUUAAUUUAGCUGUCAGAAGUUUAACAWAUGUUGAAAGGAGUUCUGUGGAAAGAAUAUAAACAAUUAAUAACUUACCUGUUGUACAUAGUUUUUUGAAAAACCUCAAUUUAGGGAGAGUUUGAGUGGAGCCAAGACCACAUUUGCAUAGAAUGCUACGAAAUAUUUGACAUUGCAGGAUUUCUCCCAGAAAACUUCAUACUGCACAUGUCAAYUUGUACGGAUUGUCCGUAUAUUACACAGAUUUUCUCCCAUUUUGCUGGUUGGCUAUAUGGACAUGAAAAGAAACCUUAAAGAUUUUUUUCAAAAGCUAAGCUUCAAAUUUAUUUUAUGUUUCAGUGCCUGUAGAAUGUACAAGAAAGGAGGCAAGUAAGGCUUGGUGACCCACCAGGCUGUCGGAAACCCUGCAUUGCAUUAAGGUGCUAGCAAUACUUCUUUGGUUUUUAACCUGCUCUGACUAGCCAUUGAUUCAUUCAUCUGGUCAGGCUUAAACUCAGUUUCUCAAAACUGACUAUAACUUAGUUUUACAUGUCGGGUUUACUCUUUAGAGUCCUUGAACCCACGUGCGUAAUUAAUUGAGUCAAAUUAAUGCGGCUUAAUUUGACUCAACACGGGAAACCUCACCCGGCCCGGACACGGAAAGGAUUGACAGAUUGAUAGCUCUUUCUCGAUUCUGUGGGGGGUGGUGCAUGGCCGUUCUUAGUUGGUGKAGCGAUUUGUCUGGUUAAUUCCGAUAACGAACGAGACUCCGGCAUGCUAAAUAGUUACGCGGCCCCGUGCGGUCGGCGUCCAACUUCUUAGAGGGACAAGUGGCUCUCAGCCACGCGAGAUUAAGCAAUAACUGGUCUGUGAUGCCCUUAGAUGUCCGGGGCUGCACGCGCGCCACACUGAGCGGGCCAGCGUGUGUCUACCCUUCGCCGAGAGGCGUGGGUAACCCGCUGAACCCCGCUCGUGAUGGAGAUCGGGGAUUGCAACUAUUUCCCAUGAACGAGGAAUUCCCAGUAAGCGCGGGUCAUAAGCUCGCGUUGAUUAAGUCCCUGCCCUUUGUAUACACCGCCUGUCGCUACUACCGAUUGGAUGGUUUAGUGAGGUCCUCGGAUCGGCCCCGCGGGGAUUGGCGACGGUCCCUGCGGAGCGCCGAGAAGACGAUCGAACUUGACUAUCUAGAGGAAGUAAAAGUCGUAACAAGGUUUCUGUAGGUGAACCUGCGGAAG
rnacentral:rRNA from 1 species